UGUCGGAGCCGGAGGUUCCGGAGAAAGAUAAAAGCCCAUGCAGGCAUUGGAAUGACAUAAACCGGUUGUACUGGUUUGUUCCAUUGUUUGGUGCAAUGGCUUAGCCUCCGGGACCUUGGACCUCGACACA
rnacentral:pre_miRNA from 1 species